ACGGCUCAGACGGUGGCUAAGAAGCUACUAGAAGACAUCUUACCCAGAGGGCUCCAGAGGGUGCACAAGGACAUUUGGCCGCGCCUCCGUGCCAUCUAUGAGGCUGGCCCGACCCCAACACCUCAUCAGUACAGGCCGGGAGACUGGGUCUACGUCAAGAGGCACCACCGAGAGACCCUCGAGCCGCGCUGGAAGGGACCCUACAUCAUGAGCUGACAUCCCCCACCGCUCUCAAAGUAGACGGCAUCGCAACCUGGGUCCAUCACAUCCAUGUUCGGCCAGCGGACCCCUCCUCAAUCCAGAAGGACUUCGUCAUGCGAUAGGCCAUCAAUCGGGACCAACACAACCCGCUCAAGCUCAAGCUACAGCACAUUUGACCCACCUAAUAUUGGUACCUCUGUUAACUCUGCUUGUCAUUGCUCAUGCUGCCGGGAGUCCCCACACCC